ensembl:lncRNA
AUAGAGAUAAUAUAACAUCAGGACUAUAGAGAUAAUAUAACAGGACUGUAUUGAUAAUAUAACAACAGGACUAUAGAGAAAAUAUUACAAUAAUAUAACAACAGGACUAUAGAGAUAAUAUAACCACAGGACUAAAGGAGUAUUGAGAUAACAGCUUUCCUCUGUGUGUGUGUGUGUGUGUGUGUGUGUGGUUUGUAUGCCGGACCAAUCCUCGCUGUCAGCAGUCUCUGUGGUCUCUGCAGUGAUAGCUGUGGUUGGGGGCGUGGCCGUCAUCUUCAUGAUAUUGACCUGCUACAGAAGGUACAGGCACUUUCCCAAGGCAGAACCAACAAGCGGUGGUUGCUGUAAGAGGGAGAAAUAGUCAAGCGACAUCUCUGGAAACGUGGUCUUCACGCAUUUCAUUACGCUUCAGUAUUUUUAUGGUUGUUUAUAAAAUGUUACAUCCUAACAGUAUACAGCUGAAUGCAUUGACAUUAUAUCUAACUAGAAGUUAUUUGUUAGAAAUUAAUCUGAAAUGGCUGAAUUCUGAGAGCAAUAAAGUUAUGUUGUAAUGUGAAGAUGUUAUGUUGGGCCACAGAUAAUUAUACUGUAUAAACUUCAGUCAG